rnacentral:lncRNA from 1 species
UCUGACCAAUUACAUUUUAAAAAAGGGGAAGUAAAUGAAAAUAUCAAGACCAUAUGAUAAUUUGCAUCAGAAUCUUCAAAACAAUCGAAAAGCCCAGCCUUCAAUCAAACAAAUACAUAGGUUAAAUUUUAUGUGUCCCAAUACCUAGAUUCCUGAACCCUAUCCCCUCAAAUAAAAUCAAACUUUUGACUUCACUCCUUCAAUUACACCAAAUUUUCUUGAACUGUUGGAGGGAUGUCAUGCAAAGAUGAUGGUGGAGGAAAGUGUCUAGGGACAAUCGUGAAGGGUAAUGUCGACGAUGGCAAAGGUGAAGAGUAAAUUUAAAUUUCCAAACAUUUAUCCUAAAAAUAUUCAAAAUUCAUUUUCUAUUCCCUUUAAAUCUCCCCUGAAUUGAGAAGAGCCACAACAUUGAGAGGAUGAAUUUCAGCCCUCUCCAUUCUCCUUUCCUACCCUCUAAAUCACAUCAAAGAAGCAUCCACA